AAGAACACAGUGGUCUCCAUCAUUCUGCAGCAUUGAAGGUCCCCAAGAACACAGUGGCCUCCAUCAUUCUGCAGCAUUGAAGGUCCCCAAGAACACAGUGGCCUCCAUCAUUCUGCAGCAUUGAAGGUCCCCAAGAACACAGUGGCCUCCAUCAUUCUGCAGCAUUGAAGGUCCCCAAGAACACAGUGGUCUCCAUCAUUCUGCAGCAUUGAAGGUCCCCAAGAACACAGUGGUCUCCAUCAUUCUGCAGCAUUGAAGGUCCCCAAGAACACAGUGGUCUCCAUCAUUCUGCAGCAUUGAAGGUCCCCAAGAACACAGUGGUCUCCAUCAUUCUGCAGCAUUGAAGGUCCCCAAGAACACAGUGGCCUCCA